CACGCCUUGUAACUUUGUUGAGGAUCUGGAGAUCAUGGUUACACCAGGGUCUAGCACAAGGUCGAUGCGCAGAGCAACCAAAGAGUACACAAGGGACCAAGAUAGCGUGAUCCCGACCACUAGUGAGUUGGAGGAGUUUUUUGCCUAUGCAGAGCAGCAACAACAGAGGCUAUUCAUGGAGAAGUACAACUUCGACAUUGUGAAUGAAAUCCCCCUCAGCGGACGAUACGAAUGGGUACAAGUCAAUCCAUGAAGUUCAAAAGGAAACAGCUCCAAAAGACAUGGUGUGAAGUAAAAGAACGUGAUGGAAUUAACAGACUAACCGAACAUCAAAAAUCGUGUAAUCUUAAGUAAUAAUGUGGUUAGAAAAACAAGUUUGAAAGUAGCUUAGGGACCUUGAAAACCUCACACCAUUUGUACUACUAAUCUUCAGAUGCUUAGUGAAAUUUUCUCAUCUGUUUCUUUCAAGUGUUUUUUUUCUAUCUCUCCCUCAUGUUUUCAAAACUUUAUGUAAUGAUGAUGAUUGAUGGGGAUGUGUGUGAACAUGUUGAAGCUUGG